rnacentral:rRNA from 1 species
CGUGGGGGAUGACGGCCUUCGGGUUGUAAACCUCUUUCAGCAGGGACGAAGCGGAAGUGACGGUACCUGCAGAAGAAGCACCGGCCAACUACGUGCCAGCAGCCGCGGUAAUACGUAGGGUGCAAGCGUUGUCCGGAAUUAUUGGGCGUAAAGAGCUCGUAGGCGGUUUGUUGCGUCGGCUGUGAAAACCUGAGGCUCAACCUCAGGCCUGCAGUCGAUACGAGCAGACUAGAGUGUUGCAGGGGAGACUGGAAUUCCUGGUGUAGCGGUGAAAUGCGCAGAUAUCAGGAGGAACACCGGUGGCGAAGGCGGGUCUCUGGGCAACAACUGACGCUGAGGAGCGAAAGCGUGGGGAGCGAACAGGAUUAGAUACCCUGGUAGUCCACGCCGUAAACGUUGGGCGCUAGGUGUGGGGCUCAUUCCACGAGUUCCGUGCCGCAGCUAACGCAUUAAGCGCCCCGCCUGGGGAGUACGGCCGCAAGGCUAAAACUCAAAGGAAUUGACGGGGGCCCGCACAAGCGGCGGAGCAUGUUGCUUAAUUCGAUGCAACGCGAAGAACCUUACCUAGGCUUGACAUGCACGGAAAUCCUCCAGAGAUGGUGGGUCCGCAAGGGUCGUGCACAGGUGGUGCAUGGUUGUCGUCAGCUCGUGUCGUGAGAUGUUGGGUUAAGUCCCGCAACGAGCGCAACCCUCGUUCUAUGUUGCCAGCACGUCAUGGUGGGGACUCAUAGGAGACUGCCGGGGUCAACUCGGAGGAAGGUGGGGAUGACGUCAAAUCAUCAUGCCCCUUAUGUCUAGGGCUGCAAACAUGCUACAAUGGCCGGUACAAAGGGCUGCGAUACCGCGAGGUGGAGCGAAUCCCAAAAAGCCGGUCUCAGUUCGGAUUGGGGUCUGCAACUCGACCCCAUGAAGUUGGAGUCGCUAGUAAUCGCAGAUCAGCAACGCUGCGGUGAAUACGUUCCCGGGCCUUGUACACACCGCCCGUCACGUCACGAAAGUCGGUAACGCCCGAAGCCGGUGGCCCAACCCUUGUGGAGGGAGCCGUCGAAGGCGGGAUCGGCGAUUGGGACG